rnacentral:rRNA from 1 species
UACAGAGGUGGCAAGCGUUGUUCGGAAUUACUGGGCGUAAAGGGCGCGUAGGCGGUUCGAUAAGUCCCGUGUGAAAGCCCCCGGCUCAACUGGGGAACUGCACGGGAAACUGACGGACUUGAGUUCGGGAGAGGGAAGCGGAAUUCCGGGUGUAGCGGUGAAAUGCGUAGAUAUCCGGAGGAACACCGGUGGCGAAGGCGGCUCGCUGGGCCAGUUCUGACACUCAGCCGCGAAA